CGGCCACUGAGGCUGCCAUCAGCCUAAGCUGGUGAACUGGGCCAGGCACCGCUCCGGUGCCUGCCGGAGCCUGGCGAUCCAGCUGCACGUCUGCGGGGGCCUCUGUGUCAGAGCGGCGGCCGUUUGCAGGCUGGGAAGCUGCCGCACCGGGAGGCUGAGACUGCAUUGUUGGGAUUUCAUGCACUAAUCUCCUGUCUCCGCCGCCUUUCCCUCUGUUCGGUCUCUUGCCCUCCCUUCCUUCGUCUGUCCUUCCUCCGUGUGUUUGUCUAUCCUCCUCUGUCCCUCCUCUUUCCUCUCCUUGCUUUCUUUGGUUUUCUGCAAUGAUGAGACAGGCACCGACAGCCCGAAAGACCACAACUCGGCGACCUAAGG
rnacentral:lncRNA from 1 species